rfam:Stachybotrys chlorohalonata IBT 40285 unplaced genomic scaffold scaffold1832, whole genome shotgun sequence.
GCGGGUAUAAGUUAAUGGUAGACUAGCUGACUUCCAAUCUGUAAGUGUCAGUUCAAAUCUGACUACCCGUA